GUGCCAGCAGCCGCGGUAAUACGUAGGGUGCGAGCGUUGUCCGGAAUUAUUGGGCGUAAAGAGCUUGUAGGCGGUUUGUCGCGUCUGCUGUGAAAAUCCGGGGCUCAACCCCGGACUUGCAGUGGGUACGGGCAGACUAGAGUGUGGUAGGGGAGACUGGAAUUCCUGGUGUAGCGGUGAAAUGCGCAGAUAUCAGGAGGAACACCGAUGGCGAAGGCAGGUCUCUGGGCCACAACUGACGCUGAGAAGCGAAAGCAUGGGGAGCGAACAGGAUUAGAUACCCUGGUAGUCCAUGCCGUAAACGUUGGGCGCUAGGUGUGGGACUCAUUCCACGAGUUCCGUGCCGCAGCUAACGCAUUAAGCGCCCCGCCUGGGGAGUACGGCCGCAAGGCUAAAACUCAAAGGAAUUGACGGGGGCCCGCACAAGCGGCGGAGCAUGCGGAUUAAUUCGAUGCAACGCGAAGAACCUUACCAAGGCUUGACAUACACCGGAAACACCCAGAGAUGGGUGCCCCGCAAGGUCGGUGUACAGGUGGUGCAUGGUUGUCGUCAGCUCGUGUCGUGAGAUGUUGGGUUAAGUCCCGCAACGAGCGCAACCCUCGUUCUAUGUUGCCAGCGCGUUAUGGCGGGGACUCAUAGGAGACUGCCGGGGUCAACUCGGAGGAAGGUGGGGAUGACGUCAAAUCAUCAUGCCCCUUAUGUCUUGGGCUUCACGCAUGCUACAAUGGCCGGUACAAAGGGCUGCGAUACCGCAAGGUGGAGCGAAUCCCAAAAAACCGGUCUCAGUUCGGAUUGGGGUCUGCAACUCGACCCCAUGAAGUCGGAGUCGCUAGUAAUCGCAGAUCAGCAACGCUGCGGUGAAUACGUUCCCGGGCCUUGCACUCACCGCCCGUC
rnacentral:rRNA from 1 species